rnacentral:sRNA from 1 species
UUGGACUCCAACAGGAAAAGAAAAAGGAAAUUUAUAUGAAAAUACAGCCACCAUUUGAAGACCUUUUUGACACAGCAGAGGAAUAUAUCCUUCUCCUCCUUCUUGAGCCAUGGACAAAGAUGGUAAAAUCGGACCAAAUCGCUUAUAAAAAGGUGGAGCUGGUGGAAGAAACUCGACAGUUAGACUCCACAUACUUCAGAAAGCUACAGGCUUUGCAUAAAGAGACAUUUUCCAAGAAAGCUGAGGACACCACUUGUGAAAUUGGAACUGGCAUUUUAUCACUCUCUAACGUCUCUAAACGAACAGAAUAUUGGGAUAAUGUUCCUGCAGAAUACAAGCAUUUUAAGUUUAGUGAUCUGCUUAACAACAAACUGGAGUUUGAACAUUUCCGUCAGUUUCUUGAGACUCAUUCUUCAAGGUCUCACUCUGUCGCCCAGGCUGAAGUGGCAAGAUCCUAGCUCACUGCAGGCUCUGUCUCCUGGGUUCAAGUGAUUCUCAUGCCUCAGCCUCUGCAGCAGCUGGAAUUACAGCAUGGAUCUUAUGUGCUGGACAGACAUUGAGCAGUUCCGGAGA